CCUACGGGCGGCAGCAGUGGGGAAUAUUGCACAAUGGCGGGAACCCUGAUGCAGCGACGCCGCGUGAGUGAAGAAGUAUCUCGGUAUGUAAAGCUCUAUCAGCAGGGAAGAAAAUGACGGUACCUGACUAAGAAGCCCCGGCUAACUACGUGCCAGCAGCCGGGGGAAUACGUAGGGGGCAAGCGUUAUCCGGAUUUACUGGAUGUAAAGGGAGCGUAGACGGCAGAGCAAGUCUGAAGUGAAAGCCCGCGGGCCAACUGCGGGACUGCUUUGGAAACUGCACGGCUAGAGUGCUGGAGAGGUAAGCGGAAUGCGUGGUGUAGCGGUGAAAUGCGUAGAUAUUAGGAGGAACACCAGUGGCGAAGGCGGCUUACUGGACAGUAACUGACGUUGAGGCUCGAAAGCGUGGGGAGCAAACAGGAUUAGAUACCCUAGUAGUC
rnacentral:rRNA from 1 species